rnacentral:rRNA from 1 species
UGGGGAAUAUUGCACAAUGGAGGGAACUCUGAUGCAGCGACGCCGCGUGAACGAAGAAGGCUUUCGAGUCGUAAAGUUCUUUUAUAUGGGAAGAUAAUGACGGUACCAUAAGAAAAAGCCCCGGCUAACUACGUGCCAGCAGCCCCGGUAAUACGUAGGGGGCUAGCGUUGUCCGGAAUCACUGGGCGUAAAGGGUUCGCAGGCGGAAAUGCAAGUCAGGUGUAAAAGGCAGUAGCUUAACUACUAUAAGCAUUUGAAACUGCAUAUCUUGAGAAGAGUAGAGGUAAGUGGAAUUUUUAGUGUAGCGGUGAAAUGCGUAGAUAUUAAAAAGAAUACCGGUGGCGAAGGCGACUUACUGGGCUCAUUCUGACGCUGAGGAACGAAAGCGUGGGUAGCAAACAGG